rnacentral:rRNA from 1 species
CAGCAGCAGCCGCGGGAAUACGUAGGGUGCGAGCGUUAAUCGGAAUUACUGGGCGUAAAGCGUGCGCAGGCGGUUGUGUAAGACAGGUGUGAAAUCCCCGGGCUUAACCUGGGAACUGCGCUUGUGACUGCACAGCUAGAGUAUGGCAGAGGGGGGUGGAAUUCCACGUGUAGCAGUGAAAUGCGUAGGGAUGUGGAGGAACACCGAUGGCGAAGGCAGCCCCCUGGGCCAAUACUGACGCUCAUGCACGAAAGCGUGGGGAGCAAACAGGAUUAGAUACCCCAGUAGUCCCUGUCUCUUAUAC